rnacentral:rRNA from 1 species
GACGAACGCUGGCGGCGUGCUUAACACAUGCAAGUCGAACGCGCCUGUCCCCUGGGUUUCUGGGGGGUGGGUGAGUGGCGAACGGGUGAGUAACACGUGAGUAACCUGCCCCCUUCUUCGGGAUAACGGUCUGAAAGGGCUGCUAAUACCGGGUAUUCACUGGUCUCCGCAUGGGGUCUGGUGGAAAGGUUUUUUUCUGGUGGGGGAUGGGCUCGCGGCCUAUCAGCUUGUUGGUGGGGUGAUGGCCCACCAAGGCUUUGACGGGUAGCCGGCCUGAGAGGGUGACCGGUCACAUUGGGACUGAGAUACGGCCCAGACUCCUACGGGAGGCAGCAGUGGGGAAUAAUGCACAAUGGGCGCAAGCCUGAUGCAGCGACGCCGCGUGAGGGAUGGAGGCCUUCGGGUUGUGAACCUCUUUCGCCCGUGGUCAAGCCGCGACGUGGGUCGUGGUGAGGGUAGUGGGUAAAGAAGCGCCGGCUAACUACGUG